rnacentral:misc_RNA from 1 species
GAUGAAGAACGCAGCGAAAUGCGAUAAGUAAUGUGAAUUGCAGAAUUCAGUGAAUCAUCGAAUCUUUGAACGCACAUUGCGCCCCUUGGUAUUCCGAGGGGCAUGCCUGUUCGAGCGUCAUUACACCACUCAAGCUAUGCUUGGUAUUGGGCGUCGUCCUUAGUUGGGCGCGCCUUAAAGACCUCGGCGAGGCCACUCCGGCUUUAGGCGUAGUAGAAUUUAUUCGAACGUCUGUCAAAGGAGAGGAACUCUGCCGACUGAAACCUGUAUUUUUCUAGGUUGACCUCGGAUCAGGUAGGGAUACCCGCUGAACUUAAGCAUAUCAAUAAGCGGAGGA